GGACUACCGGGGUAUCUAAUCCCGUUCGCUCCCCACGCUUUCGCACCUCAGCGUCAGUGUUAGCCCAGAGCACUGCCUUCGCCAUCGGUAUUCCUCCUGAUCUCUACGCAUUUCACCGCUACACCAGGAAUUCCAUGCUCCUCUGCCACACUCAAGCCCGGCAGUCUCCAAGGCACUGUUCACGUUGAGCGCUGAACCUUUCACCUCAGACUUACCGAACCGCCUACGCGCGCUUUACGCCCAGUAACUUCGGACAACGCUCGCCCCCUACGUAUUACCGCGGCUGCUGGCAC
rnacentral:rRNA from 1 species